UACGUAGGGGGCUAGCGUUGUCCGGAAUCAUUGGGCGUAAAGAGCGCGUAGGCGGCCAGAUAAGUCCGGUGUGAAAGUCACAGGCUCAACCUGUGAAUGCCGCUUGAAACUGUCUGGCUAGAGUCCGGAAGGGGCGAGUGUAAUUCCUGGUGUAGCGGUGAAAUGCGCAGAUAUCAGGAGGAACACCAAUGGCGAAGGCAGCUCGCUGGAACGGUACUGACGCUGUGGCGCGAAAGCGUGGGGAGCAAACAGG
rnacentral:rRNA from 1 species